AUGAAUUAUUAGUCAUGAAGGUCUUGAUUCACAGAACAAACUCAGCCAAAUCAAGGGCACUUUUUCACCACCUUUUCCUGGCUUUGUGCCUUAACAGUGACCUAGAAGGAUCACCUCAAGGAGUCAGAGGAUGUUGCAGUCUCCAUGGCCAUUCCUGUCUUGGCCUCC
rnacentral:sRNA from 1 species